rnacentral:piRNA from 1 species
UAAUUGGUACUAAGUCUCUUGGAAUCAAAC